GAUGAAGAACGUAGCGAAAUGCGAUACUUGGUGUGAAUUGCAGAAUCCCGUGAACCAUCGAGUCUUUGAACGCAAGUUGCGCCCGAAGCCACUAGGCCGAGGGCACGCCUGCCUGGGCGUCACACGCCGUUGCCCCCCCAUCUACUCCUUCGGGAUUGCGGGGGGCGGAUGAUGGCCUCCCGUGCGCCUAGCCGCGCGGUUGGCAUAAAUACCAAGUCCUCGGCGACGCACGCCACGACAAUCGGUGGUUGCGAAACCUCGGUUGCCCGUCGUGUGCGUUCGUCGCGCANNNNNGGCUCGAAAAAAUGCUCGGCUCCGGCUGGGCUUUCAACGCGACCCCAGGUCAGGCGGGGUUACCCGCUGAAUUUAAGCAUAUCAAUAAGCGGAGGA
rnacentral:misc_RNA from 1 species